UUUAAGUUUACUUUCAUUAAAAAAAUAAAACAUGUUUAUUGCGGGAUUUUUCAUCGUAUUGUGCUUAACACAUUUCUAAUUGUAUCGUGCUUUUAAGGUAUGCGUACUUAAAAUUCUAAGGCUGGCCCAGCCCACGUGCGUGUCGUGCCGCGCCGCAUGCCCCAUCAAAAUGUGCUCGUGUCAUGUCGUGCUAUACGGACAUGUGCCGUUCGGCCCAUUAGCCAUUUCUACUCAUAUAAGUGUACUUUCAUUUUAGAUUUUAGCUUCGGCCCUUCAUAUUUUCAAUUCUGAUUUUACCCUGAGUUUAUUGGCUGUACAUCUAAUCCCUUUGUUAAAUAAUACUAAUAUGAUGAUAAUAGUAUUGACUGUAUAUGGUACAAUUAUUUAGGUUUCUUAAAUUAUUAUAAAAUAAAAUAUAACUGCUUGAAAAUUACUCAACUAAAUCUUUUUAUGGUGGCUAAAGAAUAUAAUUAAAAUGAAAUAAAAUUAAAGAAUUUGACUAUCAAAAGGCAAAUAAUAAUAAGAAGAAGAAUAUUCAUUGUACAAAGCGACACCUUUUCUUGAACCUUAAGAAAGAGGUAAUGGAAUGCUUUGUCAAUGGUGCUAUGUAGCCAUUAUGUUCACUCAGCUGGUCCCUUCUUUAACAGUCAAUCAUUACCUCUGUUUUUAACUAUUAAAGUACAGACCAUUAUGAUAAAAGUUGCAGUAAACCCUGCAUUUUUAAUUUGUUGUCAUCAUUAUUAUAGUUGAAUAAGUACUUGAUUGAUCUCCUAGCUUGCAGCCCACGGUUUAUAAAAUAAUAACAAAAAUAAAAUGUCAAGAAGAUCCAAGUCUCAAACGAUUUCAGCAAGGGCCAUAAAAUUACCAAGAUUCGGACUUCGUAAUUACAGAGUCCAAGGCUUAAGCUGGGCUUGAGUUCUUUAACCAGCCCAAGCAAGUUAAAAAUACGUAUAAGCCCAGAACCCACCUUUUUUUUUUUUUUUUUUUUUCAUUUUCCUUCUCUUAAUUACCUCUUUAGUGUUCUAGAGCUUGUCAUAAUUAUAGCCUAGCUAUCAAGAAAGAUGGCGUGUGAUCCAUUUGGAAUUAUUUUUGGGAGACUUAAAAGUGAUUUUAAAAAUUUAAAAGUUAUUUUUAGUGUUAGGUAAUAUUUUUUAGAAAUUACUUUAAGCAAAAUCUCUUCA
rnacentral:lncRNA from 1 species